GGUUUCAUGGUGUAAUGGUUAGCACUCUGGACUUUGAAUCCAGCGAUCUGAGUUCGAGUGUCGGUGAAACCU
rnacentral:tRNA from 1 species